rnacentral:rRNA from 1 species
GACGAACGCUGGCGGCGUGCUUAACACAUGCAAGUCGAACGGUAAGGCCCUUCGGGGUACACGAGUGGCGAACGGGUGAGUAACACGUGGGUGAUCUGCCCUGCACUUCGGGAUAAGCCUGGGAAACUGGGUCUAAUACCGAAUAGGACUCCUGGCUUCAUGGUUGGGGGUGGAAAGCUUUUGCGGUGUGGGAUGGGACCGCGGCCUAUCAGCUUGUUGGUGGGGUAAUGUCCUACCAAGGCGACGACGGGUAGCCGGCCGGAGAGGGUGACCGGUCACACUGGGACUGAGAUACGGCCCAGACUCCUACGGGAGGCAGCAGUGGGGAAUAUUGCACAAUGGGCGCAAGCCUGAUGCAGCGACGCCGCGUGAGGGAUGACGGCCUUCGGGUUGUAAACCUCUUUCAGCUAUGACGAAGCGCAAGUGACGGUAGUAGCAGAAGAAGGACCGGCCAACUACGUGCCAGCCGCCGCGUAAUAC